rnacentral:misc_RNA from 1 species
GAUGAAGAACGUAGCAAAAUGCGAUAAGUAAUGUGAAUUGCAGAAUUCAGUGAAUCAUCGAAUCUUUGAACGCACAUUGCGCCCGUCAGUAUUCUGGCGGGCAUGCCUGUUCGAGCGUCAUUUCAACCCUCAAGCACAGCUUGGUGUUGGGACUCGCGUUAAUUCGCGUUCCCCAAAUUGAUUGGCGGUCACGUCGAGCUUCCAUAGCGUAGUAGUAAAACCCUCGUUACUGGUAAUCGUCGCGGCCACGCCGUUAAACCCCAACUUCUGAAUGUUGACCUCGGAUUAGGUAGGAAUACCCGCUGAACUUAAGCAUAUCAAUAAGCGGAGGA